GACGAACGCUAGCUACAGGCUUAACACAUGCAAGUCGAGGGACCGGCGCACGGGUGAGUAACACGUAUCCAACCUGCCCUUUACUCGGGGAUAGCCUUUCGAAAGAAAGAUUAAUACCCGAUAUAAAGGAUGGGGAUGCGUGCCAUUAGGUUGUUGGUGAGGUAACGGCCCACCAAGCCUUCGAUGGAUAGGGGUUCUGAGAGGAAGGUCCCCCACAUAUGAACUGAGACCCGGGCCAAACGCCUACGGGAGGCAGCAGUGAGGAAUAUUGGUCAAUGGGCGUUAGCCUGAACCAGCCAAUUAGCGUGAAGGAUGAAGGCUUAUGGGUCGUAAACUUCUGUUAUAUACGAAUAUGUAUUAUAUGAAUAAGGAGCGGCUAACUCCGUGCCAGCAGCCGCGGUAAUUC
rnacentral:rRNA from 1 species